rnacentral:rRNA from 1 species
GAUGAACGCUGGCGGCGUGCCUAAUACAUGCAAGUCGAGCGAACGGACGAGAAGCUUGCUUCUCUGAUGUUAGCGGCGGACGGGUGAGUAACACGUGGAUAACCUACCUAUAAGACUGGGAUAACUUCGGGAAACCGUAGCUAAUACCGGAUAAUAUUUUGAACCGCAUGGUUCAAAAGUGAAAGACGGUCUUGCUGUCACUUAUAGAUGGAUCCGCGCUGCAUUAGCUAGUUGGUAAGGUAACGGCUUACCAAGGCAACGAUGCAUAGCCGACCUGAGAAGGUGGUCGGCCACACUGGAACUGAGACACGGUCCAGACUCCUACGGGAGGCAGCAGUAGGGAAUCUUCCGCAAUGGGCGAAAGCCUGACGGAGCAACGCCGCGUGAGUGAUGAAGGUCUUCGGAUCGUAAAACUCUGUUAUUAGGGAAGAACAUAUGUGUAAGUAACUGUGCACAUCUUGACGGUACCUAAUCAGAAAGCCACGGCUAACUACGUG